AUAUGCACUGCUGUUGGUCCCACUGGUCCGAGGCCCACGCUUUGAGUAGCAAGACACUGAAUGAUAGAAAUGGAACCAGUUGGCCAAUGAGGAGCAGUGAUGUGAUGGCCAAAUGAUCCCUAUGCUUAGAUAUCUGAGCAGAGUGCCAAGGGAAGGCAGAGUUGCAGCAAAAAACGGGAGGAAGCAUCAACUUGCUUAGCAUACAAGAUACAUUUGAAGGUUGAGGAGACAUGACAGCAUUCUCAUGGAGCUAUGGAGAUUGGCUACACAGAUCCAACCUGUAAGUGAGAAUAUGCUGGGGUGGGGAAGGGGGCUUUGGGAAAUCUUUCUCUUUCCUGCACAGAAAUAACUGAUGAUGACUUUUUCCGACGGCCAAUUUAUUCCUGGCCUCGGCAUGGAUGAGUUGCCUGCAGCUGAAGCAGCCAUCUUGUGUCCCAAGACAAAGCCCGCGAGAGUAAUAGAGGUUGGCCCAGAAAUCAUUAAAAUCCAUGUCGGCAGCUGCCUACCUCCAGCCUUUCUGUUAUCUGAGAAAAUAACCCCCCUCUCUGUUUAAGCCAGUGUGAACCCAGUUUUCUAUUAUUUGCAGCCAAAUGGCCUUUUAGCAGAUGUACUGCAUGACCCGCUCAGCUGGGCGUUGAA